UGGGGAAUAUUGCACAAUGGAGGGAACUCUGAUGCAGCGACGCCGCGUGAACGAAGAAGGCUUUCGAGUCGUAAAGUUCUUUUAUAUGGGAAGAUAAUGACGGUACCAUAAGAAAAAGCCCCGGCUAACUACGUGCCAGCAGCCGCGGUAAUACGUAGGGGGCUAGCGUUGUCCGGAAUCACUGGGCGUAAAGGGUUCGCAGGCGGAAAUGCAAGUCAGGUGUAAAAGGCAGUAGCUUAACUACUGUAAGCAUUUGAAACUGCAUAUCUUGAGAAGAGUAGAGGUAAGUGGAAUUUUUAGUGUAGCGAUGAAAUGCGUAGAUAUUAAAAAGAAUACCGGUGGCGAAGGCGACUUACUGGGCUCAUUCUGACGCUGAGGAACGACAGCGUGGGUAGCAAACAGG
rnacentral:rRNA from 1 species